rnacentral:rRNA from 1 species
CCUACGGGCGGCAGCAGUGGGGAAUAUUGGACAAUGGGGGCAACCCUGAUCCAGCCAUGCCGCGUGUGUGAAGAAGGCCCUCGGGUUGUAAAGCACUUUCAGUGAGGAAGAACACCUGGUGGUUAAUACCCAUCAGGAAAGACAUCACUCACAGAAGAAGCACCGGCUAACUCCGUGCCAGCAGCCGCGGUAAUACGGAGGGUGCGAGCGUUAAUCGGAAUUACUGGGCGUAAAGCGCGCGUAGGUGGCUUGAUAAGCCGGUUGUGAAAGCCCCGGGCUCAACCUGGGAACGGCAUCCGGAACUGUCAAGCUAGAGUGCAGGAGAGGAAGGUAGAAUUCCCGGUGUAGCGGUGAAAUGCGUAGAGAUCGGGAGGAAUACCAGUGGCGAAGGCGGCCUUCUGGACUGACACUGACACUGAGGUGCGAAAGCGUGGGUAGCAAACAGGAUUAGAUACCCCGGUAGUC